GUGCCUAACACAUGCAAGUCGAACGAGAAAGUGGAGCAAUCCAUGAGUAAAGUGGCGACCGGGUGAGUAACACGUGACUAACCUACCUUUCAGUGGGGAAUAACCUCGGGAAACCGGGGCUAAUACCGCAUAAUGUCCAGGGACCAAAGGAGCAAUUCGCUGGAAGAGGGGGUCGCGGCCGAUUAGCUUGUUGGCGGGGUAACGGCCCACCAAGGCAAUGAUCGGUAGCCGGCCUGAGAGGGCGCACGGCCACACUGGAACUGAAACACGGUCCAG
rnacentral:rRNA from 1 species